UGCAGUUCAGUUUCUCAGCAGAUGGAAAGAGCCCUGAGCAUGCAAGGUGAAUAUUUGUCUAAGACUGGCCAGAAAUCUGAAUAGUGCUUGAUUUUCUAGAUUCAAGCAAAUUACUCAUGCUUGGGCACCCUCUUCUAUAGCCCUGAGAAGCCACAAUCGACAGCUUAUUCUCACCCAUUAAGUCAGGUCCCAAACACUAUUAUCAAGUCCUAACAACUGUCGUGAAAAUUAGAAAUAUGCUGGCAUUAGGAACUGGCAGCUCUGUUUAGCUCUGUCACAGGCAGACUGCCUUUCCAAUGUAUCAUUAGGAAGCUGGGAAAUUGGAGCUAAUGGAUGGGCUUUCUGCAGUUUUCCUCUUUUCUGGCAUUCAGUGACCACUGGAUGGCACUGGGGUUACUGUCCUGCUCACAGAUACAUUGUGUUCAUGGAGCCUCAAACUUGUUCUGAGUGCACGCUGUCCUGUCACACUGGGCAAGCUGGAGCUGGCCAGUAGUCCAAGUCCUCAAAGUGCAAGGACACCAGCAAGAAAUGGGCCAGAAGGAAGCACAAGGGAGUUUGCCACCUGCGCCAUGGAAAUGUUCUUGAGACCUCUCAGAGCUGCCUCCUUCCUCCAGCAAGAGGGAAACUCAGCUGUGCCUGGGGAAAACUAGAGCCACUACUGCAGACAGACAGAGAGACACGGCAGAAAGACAAGCAUUUUGAGAGCACAGUUAAUUAUGAAGUUACCAGGACGUUUUCCAUCUGUUUCUGCAAUGAAGCCUUUCAGUCAUGAACCUACAGGAAUGAGGGGAGUUCUUCAAUUGUGGCUUGUGAACAAG
rnacentral:lncRNA from 1 species